rnacentral:rRNA from 1 species
GGAUCAAUAUAUCGGUCGUGCCUCUGGUUCGUACUGGUAUCAUUGAUUUCUCCUUUCUGACGAACCAUGAUGUCAUUAAUUUGGUGUUAUGGGGAGUUAGGACUGUUACUUUGAAAAAAUUAGAGUGUUUAAAGCAGGCAUUAGCUUGAAUACAUUAGCAUGGAAUAAUGAAAUAGGACGUUUGACCCUAUUUUGUUGGUUUCUAGGAUCGACGUAAUGAUUAAUAGGGAUAGUUGGGGGCAUUAGUAUUCAAUUGUCAGAGGUGAAAUUCUUGGAUUUAUUGAAGACUAACUACUGCGAAAGCAUUUACCAAGGAUGUUUUCAUUAAUCAAGAACGAAAGUUAGGGGAUCGAAGACGAUCAGAUACCGUCGUAGUCUUAACCAUAAACUAUGCCGACUAGGGAUCGGAUGAUGUUAAUUUUAUAAUGGCUCAUUCGGCGCCUUACGGGAAACCAAAGUGUUUGGGUUCCGGGGGGAGUAUGGUCGCAAGGCUGAAACUUAAAGGAAUUGACGGAAGGGCACCACCAGGGGUGGAGCCUGCGGCUUAAUUUGACUCAACACGGGGAAACUCACCAGGUCCAGACAUAGUAAGGAUUGACAGAUUGAGAGC